GAUUGACUCUGGAUGUAAAAAGCCGAGUCCCACAUGGCCAGUGGCAUACAUGUCAAGGCCAAGUCUUCAUAGUCCAGAUAUGAUUGGUAAAUGACUCAACAAAAUUAUUCAACCCCUAUAUUGGAUCUUAUUCUCAGUGCUGGGAAUAUAAGAGGUAACACAAUAUUUUUGCCACCUGGUAACCAUUUAGUGGCUUGCUGUCUGUCAAAUUGGAAUCAUUAAUCUAAGAUCCACAAAACACACUGACCUCAUCAGGAACUAUCAACCACAUUAAUCACAUGUCUGGCCCUCAAUCUGAUCAUCCUGUCGUGUAGUCAGCUGGUGUGGUGUCUCUGCAGAGCUCAUGGCUUCCACUUCCUUUUCUCCUGCGUGCAGGCCUGCUGCUUAAAACACUACCAAAGGGCAAUCACUCCCCUUCCCAUCCUUCCCACUGCAUUGGUUUCAAUUUUGGUGGAA